rnacentral:rRNA from 1 species
UACGUAGGGGCCGAGCGUUGUCCGGAGUUACUGGGCGUAAAGCGCGCGCAGGCGGUUUCCUAAGCCCGCCGUGAAAGCCCCCGGCUCAACCGGGGAGGGUCGGCGGGGACUGGGGGACUUGAGGACGGCAGGGGCCGGUGGAAUCCCCGGUGUAGUGGUGAAAUGCGUAGAGAUCGGGGGGAACACCCGUGGCGAAGGCGGCCGGCUGGGCCGGGCCUGACGCUGAGGCGCGAAGGCGUGGGGAGCGAACGGG